AUUGAACGCUGGCGGCAGGCUUAACACAUGCAAGUCGAACGAUGAAGAUAUAGCUUGCUAUAUCGGAUUAGUGGCGGACGGGUGAGUAACACUUAGGAAUCUACCUUUUAGCGGGGGAUAGCUCGGGGAAACUCGAAUUAAUACCGCAUAAUUUCUACGGAAUAAAGAGGGCUUUUAGCUCUCACUAGAAGAUGAGCCUAAGUAAGAUUAGCUAGUUGGUGGGGUAAAAGCCUACCAAGGCGACGAUCUUUAGCUGGUCUGAGAGGAUGAUCAGCCACACUGGGACUGAGACACGGCCCAGACUCCUACGGGAGGCAGCAGUGGGGAAUAUUGGACAAUGGGGGCAACCCUGAUCCAGCCAUGCCGCGUGUGUGAAGAAGGCCUUUUGGUUGUAAAGCACUUUAAGCAGUGAAGAAGACCUAUUGGUUAAUACCCAAUAGUGAUGACAUUAACUGCAGAAUAAGCACCGGCUAACUCUGUGCCAGCAGCCGCGGUAAUACAGAGGGUGCAAGCGUUAAUCGGAAUUACUGGGCGUAAAACGAGCGUAGGUGGUUAAAUAAGUCAGAUGUGAAAGCCCUGGGCUCAACCUAGGAACGGCAUCUGAAACUAUUUAACUAGAGUAGGUGAGAGGGAAGUAGAAUUUCAGGUGUAGCGGUGAAAUGCGUAGAGAUCUGAAGGAAUACCGAUGGCGAAGGCAGCUUCCUGGCAUCAUACUGACACUGAGGCUUGAAAGCGUGGGUAGCAAACAGG
rnacentral:rRNA from 1 species